AAGUCGUAACAAGGUUUCCGUAGGUGAACCUGCGGAAGGAUCAUUAACACUAAUGAAAUCCAAAACCUUUUGGAUCAACCCAACCUUAGCGAACCGUUCGUAUUUUCCCUUUGCCAUUCUAUUUAUCAAACGCAAAACAAUCUGAAGUAAAGUGUCUGAUUCUUUUUCCCGUGCUCCUCAUUCAAGGGGGGCCUGGAAUCAAAAAUCUAACGCAAUACAACUCUUAACAACGGAUAUCUUGGCUCUC
rnacentral:misc_RNA from 1 species